rnacentral:lncRNA from 1 species
CAUUUCUCUUACCUGGAGGAAGGCUAAUUGAAUAAUAUCCUGGGCCAAGCAUGCGUCUCUCCUGAAACAAUCAUAUUCUGCUCUAUCUUUCUGGUUUCUUCCCUUGAUGCUGACUCCUGUUGGAGGCCAAGAAAGAAGCAAACAGGGUUCCCCAAGGUCUCAGAAGAUUAUCUCACACAGAGCUGUUGGAAUUACUUCGUGAUGAUUUCAAAGAAAAUUUUCUUCUCUAAACACUCUUAUCCCAAGACUCUGCAGAAACCCAGCAGCAAUAAGCUUUUAUAGCUUUCUUAUUCUGUCAAUCAGUUCCCAUUUCCAAAUACGAAAAAGGCCAAGGAAGUUUGUCUUCUUUUGAAUUCUCAGCUUCCCAGGUCAUGAAAAUGUCCUCCUCCUCACUGGAAAAGCUCACCAAGGAAGUCAAAAUGAAAGAAAGAAGCAGACAGGGCCGAGGCUCCCUGAGGUACGUAGCACUUUCUUCCACAGCCACGGAAAUACGCCUUUUACUUUUUCCUGAUUUAGGAUUGUCUAACACUUGGAAGUCUUCCCUUCUCCCUCUUGCAAUAAGUGAAAGAUUUGAGAACUGUUGUUGGCCAAGGUUUCCUGAUUUUUGGUUGCAUUUGCAUUCCUAAAAUACCUACUUUUCUCUUUAUUUAUUUUUCUGUCGUGCCCACCUAGAGACACAAACACCUUCCCUGACAUCAGGAUCUCCAAACUCCCCACAUAACAAAUUACAGCACUGAUAACAGAAGCUCUUCAGAACUCUCCGAUUAAAGCAAAGGAGGGGGCCACUGGCUGUUUUUGGCUGAGUAGCUCUUAUGGCCUUGAAGGGCUACACAUUUAAU